rnacentral:rRNA from 1 species
GACGAACGCUGGCGGCAUGCCUAACACAUGCAAGUCGAACGAGACCUUCGGGUCUAGUGGCGCACGGGUGCGUAACGCGUGGGAAUCUGCCCUCUGGUACGGAAUAACUCAGGGAAACUUGAGCUAAUACCGUAUAAUGACUUCGGUCCAAAGAUUUAUCGCCUGAGGAUGAGCCCGCGUAGGAUUAGCUUGUUGGUGAGGUAAAAGCUCACCAAGGCGACGAUCCUAGCUGGUCUGAGAGGAUGAU